GGUCAAUCUGCCAUCUGGGGGAGGGGGUGGGGAAAGGAGGGGAAAAGUUGGAACAGAGUUUUUAUAAGGGUCAAUGCUGAAAAAUUACCCGUGGAUAUGUUUUGUCAAUAAAAAGCUAUAAAAAAAAAAAAAAGCUUUAAAAUGAAAAAAAAAUAAAGUAUAUGUUAAAUCCAAUAUAUGUAGACAUAUUUAGACAGUUCUCUUGUUGCACAAGAAAAAUCAGAUUUAGAAAGAAGGUAAAAAGAACCUAGGAAGGAAAACAAAAUGCAAGAGGGCAAGAACAGAAUGUUAGCCAUGUUUCAUGGGGAAAAAGCAAGAAAAUAAGGAAAGCAGGAGAAACAAUCUAUACUCAGGAUUCAUCGGUUCUGGGGCGAGGGAGAGCAUCUGUCAUCAAGAGUCUUUUGCUAUUGGCGUGGAUCGUUGUCUGAUCGGGACCAGUCCUUCCAGAGGAGUCUUGUUCCGUUAUUGCCGCGGGAAUCUCCGGUUCCACUCCCUUCACUCGAUAGUGGUUCUCCUGACCCGUCCCUCUGGGCAUUUCUCAUAGCACCAGAGUGCUCCAUCACCUUCACGGAUCGCAGCGUGUCCGGCGUCCCCGGCUCCUGGGCUUCCCCAGGUCUCCGAUUCUUCCACUCGCCACGGAAGUUGCUACAAAUAAUUGUGUGGACGUCCUCCCCCUUUUCUCUCUAUCUUUGGGAGACAGAGGCCCCACGAUGUUACCCCGGUGCAGAUUGCUACCCCGGUGACCUGAAGGCUGGGUCUUUGAAUGGCGAUGGGGAUGGGGUCGUCGGCUGGCACGUUAGGCAUCACUGCACCGGCCCGGCAGCCUUCCCAGGACCCCGGAGCUCCCCAAAGCUGGGCCUGUGCUGGUUAUCACCUUCCACAGCUCAGAGCCACCUCCCAGCAGGCCCCGGCUUUGGGCGGAAGGAGAGUUUGACUGACAGCUCUCCAAAGAUAUCAGAGACCUCUUAAGCCCAAUGUAAUGGCCUUUGCUCUGCUCUCAUUCUCCUUCACUUCCCUGUGGCCUUGGCUGAUGGCCUUUACUCUCUCCUACAUACUCCCAAGGCUUUCUGGGAAAUGUCCCUCUCCUGGCUCUCCCCCUACCCGUCUGACUGCUCCCUCUCUGGCUCCUGGAUCCUCCUUCAAGUCCUGCCUUCUCACCCCCAGUGUCCCAUGGCUCCGUCCUGGGCCCCUUCUCUUCUUCCUGCCCACUUCCCGGAGUGAGCUCGUCAGCUCCCCUGGAUUCCACACGCUCCCCUAUACCGAUGACCCCCCACUUCUCUGACUUUGCCCGGCUUGCCCGUUAGACACCCAGAGCGGCUGUCCUGGACACAGCUUGUCCAACAACAUGUUCAAAAUGGACUCCUCAUCUUUCCUCUUCAACUGUCCUCCUCUGGGACUCCCUAGUACUAGUGGGGGUGCUUUCAUUCUCCCCAUCACUGGGGCGCCAAAUCUAGGAUUCACCCCCAACGUCUCAGUCACCCUCAUCCCCAGCCCCUCAUUCACCUCAUCCCCAGCCUCUCACUCUCCUGCCUCCCCUCAUUCACCCCAUCCCCCACAUCCAGUGGGUCACCUGCAGAUUUGACCUUUCCACACGCCCUCCCUCCUCUGCCACUGCUCUCACAUCAGCCCUGGCCCCUUCGUGUCUGAAGCAGCUCAGGCUGCUGCUGGGCCUCCUCCCUGAGCCUCUCCCGCUUCAGCCCGUCCUCCCUGGGCAGCCAAAGUGCUCCUCCUCAAGCGCAAAUCUGAUGACAUCCCUCCUCUCCCCGAACGCCGGUAGUGCCCCCAUCACCCCGAUCAAAUACAAACCCUGGGGUCGGGGAUCCAAGCUCUUGGUCCCGCUCCUGCCCCUUGCAGCCCCUCCCUCUGCUCCAAUCCGGCCCAGGGCCUCCUGGCCUCCUGCAGACCAGAGGCUCCCUGUCGGGCCGGACUCGGCCAUUUCUCGGUGGCUCCCACAGCCAGGACCUUCUCCACUGCCCUCCAGGCUUCCCUGCCUUCCUCCGGGUCCCGCUAACUCUCACCUGCUGCGGCCCCUCCUUAUGUGGGGCUCCCCUCUGGUGAUUAUUUCCUUCCAGCCUCUCUGGCUGCUAAGCUCCUGCAGGGAGGGGCUGAGGCCUUUCUUGGGGUGGCCCCGACUUUGCACGGGCCUCAGUUGUCCCGUUUGUCCUGUGGUACCACGACAAGUGGGAGGGAGGGAGGGCCGGCCGGGGUCCCUGGCUCGCUUCCCCUCCAGAGCCGCCUGCGGCCAGAGCGGGAUCAGGAGGCCCGAGGGCCCGGAUGUUUGCUGACUGACCAGCAGGCCGCAGAGGACUGGGAGCGGGAGCCCUGACAGAGGGCCGGACCCUGAGGCUGGGGCGGCUCCGCGCUCGGAUCUGUCCCUCCUCCUCCCCCUGGGGGGGCAGUUGGCCCCAGCUCUGAACUUUCCAGGGAGGGGGGGGGGCGGGGAUUCUUCCCACAUUCCGGAGCUCCGGAAUUUCCAUCCUCCCCCCACAGAUCUUUCCCCGGCGCGAAACAGGGCGCAGGGGAGAAGGGCCUGCGGAUGUUCCGCCAGCCACGGGCUCCCCUCCUAAUGACUAGGAAAUACUAAGCAGAGCGCCCCGCUUGUGGGACCUGGGGGCGGCCCCUUCCCUCGGGGCCUCAGUUUCCAUUCCCUGCAUCCCCGCAGCUUCCCCCCGCAGUGGUAGCGGCGCCUGGGGAGCGAUCCCGCCUCCUUCCCCGGCCGGGCUUGGCCAAAGCCCUUUCUCCGGGAGCCUCGGUUUCCCGGCAGGCAAAGCUGGCGGGGCGGUCAGCAGGCAGGAAGGGAAGCUCUGCGCUUCUCCCAGCGCCGACCGGCCCCAGCCCCGACCCGGCCGCAGCCCCGCUCCGCACUGAGAGCCGGAAGCAACCGCGGGGGGCCUCUGGGCUGGGGAACAGGCACAGACUGGCCGCAGGCUCAUAUGGGAAAGGAUUUGAACCCAAGUCUUCAGACUCCCAAGCGCCCGCACCCGGACAGAGGGCAGCCGGGGCAGCCCCGGGCCCGUCGGAAAGCACAGAGAAGCCCCAGCAAAUGGCCCGGGGUCUCCAGCCCUCCCUGCUUCCUUCGCCCCCCCCCUUCUCCUCUCUAGCUCCCUCGGAUUACGGCCGCCCGGACCCCGGGGCCACUGGGAAGCGCCGCAGCCCCCGCAGGCCCCGCUCAAGGCUGCUCCUCCGGGACCUUUCUCGGCAUCUUGGAACUGGG
ensembl:lncRNA